UACGUAGGGUGCAAGCGUUGUCCGGAAUUAUUGGGCGUAAAGAGCUCGUAGGCGGUCUGUCGCGUCUGCUGUGAAAACUCGGGGCUUAACCCCGGGCCUGGCAGUGGGUACGGGCAGACUAGAGUGCGGUAGGGGAGACUGGAAUUCCUGGUGUAGCGGUGAAAUGCGCAGAUAAUCAGGAGGAACACCGGUGGCGAAGGCGGGUCUCUGGGCCGUAACUGACGCUGAGGAGCGAAAGCAUGGGGAGCGAACAGG
rnacentral:rRNA from 1 species